rnacentral:piRNA from 1 species
UGUUCGUUGUUGAAAUGAAGGCAUCAUGAGG